CCGGUCUAGCCGUCUAGGUCACCGAUCCGCCACGGAGCUUGCCGUCCACCGACCUGGUUGAAGAGCGCCGCCACCUCUGCCUUCGGUCGUCACUGCCGCCGCCGUUGUGGACUGCCAGCCCGCGGCUAUUCUGGCUUCGUCAUCAUGGGACAAAACUGUAUGAAGAGAAGCAUCCAUUCAGAAAUCAGAGCAAUCUAUGUAUGAAACAAGGCGUUAGUUGUGAUAAUUUAUUGAUGUAGCUAAAAUUGAUGUAAAUUUGGUAAACAAAAAAGAUAUGAAUAGGAUGCUGCUGUGUCUUUGAAUCUUCCAUGCAUUCUCAAUUUAUUUAUGUACAAAAUCUGUGAUAGUUAUUUUUAUGUAGCUAAUUUUGUGAUGUUUA